rnacentral:lncRNA from 1 species
ACAUCAGCUGGGAGGAUGUUCUGCUUUAUAGUUACAGCUGUUAUUGUUUCUAGGGAGACCACUUUACUUAUCCACCCUCCCUGUGCCUGCCACAUCCUCAAUUUGCGGACACUCAGGGUUUCCAAAGGAGUGAGAUAGUGUAGAGAUACUGUGCCACAGCCCUGGUCAGCACUUCAUGGGGACCUGGGGAGUUUAAACAUCACUGAAGACCAGAUGGGUUAGGACUGUUCUUUUCUUUUUUUUUUUCUUUUUUUUUCUUUUUUUUUUUUUCCCCCUUGCUUAGGUAGGUGUUGAGCAGAGGGAAAAACAUAAAAGACCAGGGGCAAAAUUUUCUUCAGAGAGACUUUUGCUUUCUCUUUGCUUCUUAGUUUGACAGAAAAGACUUUGU